GACGAACGCUGGCGGCGUGCUUAACACAUGCAAGUCGAACGGAAAGGCCCUGCUUUUGUGGGGUGCUCGAGUGGCGAACGGGUGAGUAACACGUGAGUAACCUGCCCUUGACUUUGGGAUAACUUCAGGAAACUGGGGCUAAUACCGGAUAGGAGCUCCUGCUGCAUGGUGGGGGUUGGAAAGUUUCGGCGGUUGGGGAUGGACUCGCGGCUUAUCAGCUUGUUGGUGGGGUAGUGGCUUACCAAGGCUUUGACGGGUAGCCGGCCUGAGAGGUUGAACGGCGACAGUGGGACUGAGAUACGGCCCAGACUCGUACGGGAGGCAGCGGUGGGGAAUAUUGCACAGUGGGCGGAAGCGUGAUGCAGCGACGCCGCGUGCGGGAUGACGGCCUUCGGGUUGUAAACCGCUUUAGCCUGUGACGAAGCGUGAGUGACGGUAAUGGGUAAAGAAGCACCGGCUAACUACGUG
rnacentral:rRNA from 1 species